rnacentral:rRNA from 1 species
GAUGAACGCUGGCGGCGUGCCUAAUACAUGCAAGUCGAGCGAACGGACGAGAAGCUUGCUUCUCUGAUGUUAGCGGCGGACGGGUGAGUAACACGUGGAUAACCUACCUAUAAGACUGGGAUAACUUCGGGAAACCGGAGCUAAUACCGGAUAAUAUUUUGAACCGCAUGGUUCAAAAGUGAAAGACGGUCUUGCUGUCACUUAUAGAUGGAUCCGCGCUGCAUUAGCUAGUUGGUAAGGUAACGGCUUACCAAGGCAACGAUGCAUAGCCGACCUGAGAGGGUGAUCGGCCACAUUGGAACUGAGACACGGUCCAGACUCCUACGGGAGGCAGCAGUAGGGAAUCUUCCGCAAUGGGCGAAAGCCUGACGGAGCAACGCCGCGUGAGUGAUGAAGGUCUUCGGAUCGUAAAACUCUGUUAUUAGGGAAGAACAUAUGUGUAAGUAACUGUACACAUCUUGACGGUACCUAAUCAGAAAGCCACGGCUAACUACGUG